rnacentral:rRNA from 1 species
GAGUUGUAAUUUGAAGAGGCGUUUUCUGCGUAUUUGGUCAGCCCAAGUCCUAUUGAAUGAGGCAUCAUGGAGGGUGAUAAUCCCGUCCGGUUGAUCAUUUGCGUUUUACGAUACGCUUUCUAAGAGUCAAGUUGUUUGGGAUUGCAGCUUAAAAUGGGAGGUAAAUUUCUCCUAAGGCUAAAUAAUGGCGAGAGACCGAUAGCGAACAAGUACCGUGAGGGAAAGAUAAAAAGAACUUUGAAAAGAGAGUUAAACAGUACGUGAAAUUGUUGAAAGGGAAACGAUUGAAGCCAGUCGUACUUUCAGGUAAUCAGCCUUUCGGGUGCGAUUCUGUGGAGUGUAAGGAGCUUAACACCUUCAUGCUUUGCAUAUUUGUGCUCUUGGGUGUACUUGCCCGUGUGGUUGGUUAACAUCAAUUUUGGUGGUCAUAAAAUGACUGGAGGAAUGUAGCUUCGAUCUCGUAUUGAAGUGUUAUAGCCUUCGGUAGAUGUGAUGAUCAAGAUUGAGGAUUGCAACGGAUACCCUUCGGGGCUACCUGUCUGGUCUCUGAUCGUUGCUCUGGUGCCGAAAGCUUGCUU